UACGUAGGGUGCAAGCGUUGUCCGGAAUUAUUGGGCGUAAAGGGCUCGUAGGCGGUCCAUCACGUCGGGAGUGAAAAGCUGGGGCUUAACCCCAGUCCUGCUUCCGAUACGGGUGGACUAGAGGUAGGCAGGGGAGAACGGAAUUCCUGGUGUAGCGGUGAAAUGCGCAGAUAUCGGGAAGAACACCCGUGGCGAAGGCGGCUCUCUGGGACGGUACUGACGCUGAGACGCGAAAGCGUGGGGAGCGAACAGG
rnacentral:rRNA from 1 species